ensembl:misc_RNA Metazoa_SRP Metazoan signal recognition particle RNA
GCUGGGUGUGGUAGCGCAUGCCUGUAAUCCCAGCUACUCGGGAGGCUGAGGCAGGAGAAUCGCUUGAGCCCAGGAGGCAGAGGUUGCAGUGAGCCGAGAUUGCUCCACUGCACUCCAGCCUGGGUGACAGAGCGAGACUCAGUCUCAA